CCAUCAUCUGUAGAUACACAUUAAGAGAAUCGUCUAAUAGCUCAAUUCUUGUGUUUAUAUAUGAAUUAUGCUAGCCUAGGGACUCAGGGGAACCUCCUUUGUCAAACAAAAUUUUAAAAGUUGGCAAAAUCUGAAUAGUGUUGGGUUGGUUUGGGUGGAGAGUGUUCUUUCCUUAGCAAAUUGAUGUUUUGGUUGAAAAUUAUUUAAUUGGAAUUCCAUAUUUAAUAAAGGAUGUUACUUUCCAUGUUUUGGUAGGCUUGAAAAAGAAUCAGGGUUUUAUUUCAACGUGAGGUACCUCUAUGAGAAAGUUCAAGCUGGAGAUUGGGUUGAAGUUGAGAAAUACUUGUCAGGAUUUACCAAAGUUGAUGAUAACCAAGAAUCUAUGAAGAUAUUCUAUGAAAUUAGAAAGCAGAAGUAUCUUGAAGCACUUGAUAGGCGAGAAAAGGCAAAGGCCCUUGAAAUAUUAGAGACUGAUUUAAAAGUGUUUUCAACAUUGAAUGAGGAAGGGUACAAAGAAAUUACACAACUUUUAACUCUCAGCAAUUUAAGGGAAAAUGAGCAGCUGUCCAAGUAU